ACUCCUACGGGAGGCAGCAGUGGGGAAUAUUGCACAAUGGGCGCAAGCCUGAUGCAGCCAUGCCGCGUGUAUGAAGAAGGCCUUCGGGUUGUAAAGUACUUUCAGCAGUGAGGAAGGUGGGUAUGUUAAUAGCAUAUUCAUUUGACGUUAGCUGCAGAAGAAGCACCGGCUAACUCCGUGCCAGCAGCCGCGGUAAUACGGAGGGUGCGAGCGUUAAUCGGAAUUACUGGGCGUAAAGCGCAUGCAGGUGGUUUGUUAAGUCAGAUGUGAAAGCCCGGGGCUCAACCUCGGAAUUGCAUUUGAAACUGGCAAACUAGAGUACUGUAGAGGGGGGUAGAAUUUCAGGUGUAGCGGUGAAAUGCGUAGAGAUCUGAAGGAAUACCGGUGGCGAAGGCGGCCCCCGUGGACAGAUAACUGACACUCAGAUGCGAAAGCGUGGGGAGCAAACAGGAUUAGAUACCCUGGUAGGCUCU
rnacentral:rRNA from 1 species